UACGUAGGGGGCGAGCGUUGUCCGGAAUUAUUGGGCGUAAAGAGCGUGUAGGCGGUUCGGUAGUCUGCCGUGAAAACCUGGGGCUCAACCCCGGGCGUGCGGUGGAUACUGCCGGGCUAGAGGGUGGUAGAGGCGAGUGGAAUUCCCGGUGUAGCGGUGAAAUGCGCAGAUAUCGUAAGGAAGACCAGUGGCGAAGGCGGGUCUCUGGACAGUUCCUGACGCUGAGGCACGAAGGUCAGGGGAGCAAAACGGG
rnacentral:rRNA from 1 species